UACGUAGGGAGCAAGCGUUAUCCGGAUUUAUUGGGUGUAAAGAGUGCGUAGACGGUAAUGCAAGUUGGCUGUGAAAUCCCUCGGCUUAACUGAGGAACUUCAACCAAAACUACAUUUCUUGAGUGCUGGAGAGGAAAGUGGAAUUCCUAGUGUAGCGGUGAAAUGCGUAGAUAUUAGGAGGAACACCGGUGGCGAAGGCGACUUUCUGGACAGUAACUGACGUUGAGGCACGAAAGUGUGGGGAGCAAAC
rnacentral:rRNA from 1 species